AAGACUAUAGACCUGCGGAGUACCUGCGGAGGGAUCAUUAAUGAGUUGUAAAUGGGCUUGAUGCUGGCAUCUAAUUUUUUGGGUGCAUGUGCUCGCUCUAACAAUCAUUCCAAACACCUGUGCACAUAUUCUUGAAGGGGGUGCUGAAUUUUUUUGGUGCCCCUUACACAAAACAUUAAUGAAUAAUUAUGAACGUGAUUUGUGCCGCAAGGCCUUAACAUAUAAAUACAACUUUCAACA
rnacentral:misc_RNA from 1 species